GAGACGUGCUAGCCAACCUAGCACCAGACGCUAGCACCACUGGAUCAACGCCUCCUUUCUGACACGCCCGCCUCCCAUGCCCGAGGUUGCGAGAUCGAGUCCGGUGUGCGAUUGUGCGACUUCUUCUACAUAACGCUUGAUACACCCGCAUCCACAGGAGGGUCGCGUCGCCCAGCUAAAGUUGAGCUGAGGAAAAUCUGUUCAGACGCGUUCAUAACUCCCCCACGUUUCAUCAUCACUGAGCACGUGCGAGCUGUUUACAGUCGGUGGGUGUUGGCGAAUGAGGGUUAGGUCCGGUCACAGUGGAGUUGUACAUUUCGCAAUCAAACCAGGUUUGUCAAACGAGUGGCAGUGUAACCUUUAGAAAUUGUGGCUCUUUUAUUAAUCACCAUCGAAUAGUAUAACGCAAUAUGUGCAUAGUCUAUACUGCCUAGUAUACGUGGAGUUUCGCCUAGCAUAUUGCUUAUCAAAUAGUUUGAUAUUAGUUUUAAUUUGUGAUUUACUUAUUUUCAAAGCGACAUCAAAUGUGCCAUAUAGCGGUACCAGACGUUGGUUAAGCGAUCUGCACCGUAUUUAUCGCCAGUAUGACUAAGCUCCGCUGGAACAGGCACCGAGGCGCAUUAAUAUGCAGUCACACCCCCUGCAGUGUUCCAUCGGCCUGACAGAAAUAUUACUGAGUCAACAACACCUCUACGAGGAAAACGCUCAGAAACACACUGUGUCACGUCAGGACGUCAAGCAGCACAUCUUCUACUACAAGCUGGUGAUUUCUUCUCCUGUCAUACAACGAUGGCUUGGUCAAGAUCAACAGAUUGAAGCCUUUGUUAUAUGUGGAGAUCUGAUUGAGUGACAAAAACUGCAAGGACCCCAUUCAAGAGAACAGGUCAAAUUAGUACAAUUAUCCCCAGCUUCUCUCUGUAGUAUUGCACAUGGAAAAGGCAACAAAAAAACAAAACGAUUCAGUUGAUAGCAAAGAUACUAUAUGCACAGGCUGACAGCAGGUCCGUUUUGCAUUCUUCUUGAUGCAUUCAUACAGUCUAGUAGUAGUCUAGCACCUGGCAGGUACCACAUGUGGCCAUUUCUGACAUUUCUGAACACAGCCAAGACCCCACAGCUUUGUAGGGCACAUAAUUAUGUAUUGCUUAUAGUUUUUACAAGGUCAGAAUUAUUAUUUUGUAAAACAAUUUUCAGGUUUGGGUUCAUGAUUUUACCUGGCUCCAGUGGAAAAGUGUCCAUGCACACAUGUACAUCAUGAAAUGCAGAAAUUGUGAUUGAAAUCAUGUCCUGAACUUUUCAUUUAUUGUAUGUUACCUUUCCUUGGUUCCAGAAUACUGAAUAAAACACAAAAAAGUAGAAGAUAGAACACUUUAAA